AGGCAGCACUGGGGAAUCUUGGACAAUGGGCGCAAGCCUGAUCCAGCCAUGCCGCGUGUGUGAUGAAGGCCUUAGGGUCGUAAAGCACUUUCGCCAGAGAUGAUAAUGACAGUAUCUGGUAAAGAAACCCCGGCUAACUCCGUGCCAGCAGCCGCGGUAAUACGGAGGGGGUUAGCGUUGUUCGGAAUUACUGGGCGUAAAGCGCACGUAGGCGGAUUAGUCAGUCAGAGGUGAAAUCCCAGGGCUCAACCCUGGAACUGCCUUUGAUACUGCUAGUCUUGAGUUCGAGAGAGGUGAGUGGAAUUCCGAGUGUAGAGGUGAAAUUCGUAGAUAUUCGGAGGAACACCAGUGGCGAAGGCGGCUCACUGGCUCGAUACUGACGCUGAGGUGCGAAAGUGUGGGGAGCAAACAGGAUUAGAUACCCUGGUAGUCCACACCGUAAACGAUGAAUGCCAGUCGUCGGGCAGUAUACUGUUCGGUGACACACCUAACGGAUUAAGCAUUCCGCCUGGGGAGUACGGUCGCAAGAUUAAAACUCAAAUGAAUUGAC
rnacentral:rRNA from 1 species